CGGUCUGCAUUAUGUGAUUUCUCGCAGGCCGUGACAGAAACCGCCGUGUCCAGGUCCGCUCUGCUAGGAUUUACGAUGCUGAUCCCCUCCUUGGUGAUGCGCUCCCCCCGUAUGAUAAUGAACCCGAAGAUGUAUAACCUGUUCAGACAGGCGGGCGCCCUUCUGGCCUUCGGAGCGAUGACGCCAGUGUCCUUCAGCAUAUUCCCACAGACUGGAAAGAUCAAAAGGGAAAAUCUGGAGGAAGAACUGAGAGAGAAGACGACAGAGUCUGAACUUUUCUACAACCGAGGUGUCUGACCGCUGCUGUUACCGCUGACAGCCGGGACCCAGCGCAGAGACCGCCGGACGCAGCUUAAUAACGCCAGACAAUACAAUCAACUCACAUAACUUGGCUCACGCUCUAAGUCCGGACAUUAAUUUAUUUUCAUAUAAUAAAUGUGAUACAUUUUCACCCUCA